AUGCCUUUUUCCUCUUUGCUCAUCCAUUCUCGUGUACUCGAGCUCCAGCGCCCAAGUCCACAUCCUUCUCCUCAACCCUCUCCAAACAUGUCCGGAGCGGGAGGCAAGUGGAUGGUCUCCUCCGUCACGGAGGGAGACAUCAAAAAGCUACGCGAGGCCGGAUACUUAGCCGCGGAUAUCGCGCACCGGCUGCCCGCCGCGGGGCAGAUCGUCCCUACCCCGGAACCUUACGAAAGGGUGGUUUUCCUCUCCCACUUCGUCCGUGGACUGGGGUUUCCCCUCCAUCCAUUCAUCCGCGGCCUUAUGUUCUACUAUGGGCUGGACUUCCAUGAUCUGGCCUCGAACUUCAUCCUCAACAUCUCGGUGUUCAUAGUCAUGUGCGAGGCCUUCCUCCGUGUCCGGCCCCACUUCGGCCUGUGGCUGAAGACCUUCAAUGUCAAACCGAAGGUAGUAGGCGGCCAACAAGCGGAAUGCGGCGGAGCCAUGGUGGGCAAAAUGCCCAAUGUUACAUGGAUCGAGGGAUCCUACGUGGAGACCAUAAAGGGGUGGCAAUCGGGGUGGUUCUACAUCACCGAGCCGCGCGACACCAACUGGGUGGCGGCCCUCGAGUUUCGAUCCGGAAUCCCCACACGGCUCACUUCCUGGAAGGAGAAGGGCCUGUCUUGGGGUUCAUCGAUGGAGCUGGACGGACUCCAGAAGUGUAUCCGGAAAAUGAUAAGUAAGAAACUUAAGCUUGUCAACAUAGUCCAGGUCAUGCUCUUCCACCGGAUCAUCCCGUGUCAACAACGGGCUUUCAACUUAUGGGAGUUCGACCCGGCCCAGCACCAGACUCUACGCGAGCUCUUCGACACGAAGCAUAAGGACGUCUGGAAGGUGAUGUUCAAGGGCGCCGAGGUCCCUCAUUCUCUUACCGAGGACCGCAGCUAA
rnacentral:rRNA from 1 species